CCUACAUUUCCCUCAAUUUCUACGGCGUACACCUCGGAUGUCCCAAACAAAAAAAGGACAAGGAAAGAAUGCCGAAAACACCGUACACAGAAGAUUUUCAAAUAUGAAGAGAUAGUAGACAGGAGAGUUGUAAAUGAAAAAGAAGUUAAAGUCAAGUGGAAGCCCUGCUCGAUAUGGUAUGUAGUAACAACUUUGUUGGACCAGAACAGACAUUUAUAUUGUUGAUAAAUAGUUAUCACCUCAGUUUGAAUUCAUGUAUUUGGACUAAAGUAAAUUGGGAGCUUUUAGCUGAGGAGCUUGAUAGCAGUCCACCUCCAAAGUUCAUUAUGAGAUUUGGAGGUGGACAUGGUCAACACUUUUAAGAGUAGGCAUAAGACUUUACU